rnacentral:rRNA from 1 species
CUACGGGUCGCUGCAGUCGAGGAAAUUUUACAAUGCUCGUAAGAGUGAUAGAAUAAGCCAGAGUGUUUCUCUUAGAGAAACUUUUGUCUACUGUAAAAAUGUAGAUGAAUAAGGACUGGGAAAGACCGGUGCCAGCCGCCGCGGUAAUACCGGCGGUCCGAGUCGCAUCCACAUUUAUUGGGUCUAAAACAUUCGUAGCUUGUUUUGUAAGUCUCUUGUGAAAUUCUAUAUCUCAAGUAUAGAUCGUGCAAGAGAUACUACAUAACUAGAGACCGGAAGACGUAAGGAGUAUGAUUGAGGUAGCGGUAAAAUGCAUUAAUCUUAAUCAGACUAACAAUAGCGAAGGCACCUUACGAGUACGGAUCUGACAGUGAGGGAUGAAGGCCAGGGUCGCGAAAGGGAUUAGAUACCCUGGUAGUC